rnacentral:rRNA from 1 species
UACAGAGGGGGCAAGCGUUGUUCGGAAUUACUGGGCGUAAAGCGUGCGCAGGCGGCUUUGCAAGACAGAUGUGAAAUCCCCGGGCUUAACCUGGGAACUGCAUUUGUGACUGCAAGGCUAGAGUACGGUAGAGGGGGAUGGAAUUCCGCGUGUAGCAGUGAAAUGCGUAGAUAUGCGGAGGAACACCGAUGGCGAAGGCAAUCCCCUGGACCUGUACUGACGCUCAUGCACGAAAGCGUGGGGAGCAAACAGG